AUUGAACGCUGGCGGCAGGCCUAACACAUGCAAGUCGAGCGGAUGAAGGGAGCUUGCUCCUGGAUUCAGCGGCGGACGGGUGAGUAAUGCCUAGGAAUCUGCCUGGUAGUGGGGGAUAACGUCCGGAAACGGGCGCUAAUACCGCAUACGUCCUGAGGGAGAAAGUGGGGGAUCUUGGGACCCCCGGCUUUCAGUGGGCCCUAGGUCGGAUUAGCUAGUUGGUGGGGUAAAGGCCUACCAAGGCGACGAUCCGUAACUGGUCUGAGAGGAUGAUCAGUCACACUGGAACUGAGACACGGUCCAGACUCCUACGGGAGGCAGCAGUGGGGAAUAUUGGACAAUGGGCGAAAGCCUGAUCCAGCCAUGCCGCGUGUGUGAAGAAGGUCUUCGGAUUGUAAAGCACUUUAAGUUGGGAGGAAGGGCAGUAAGUUAAUACCUUGCUGUUUUGACGUUACCAACAGAAUAAGCACCGGCUAACUUCGUG
rnacentral:rRNA from 1 species